rnacentral:rRNA from 1 species
GACGAACGCUGGCGGCGUGCUUAACACAUGCAAGUCGAACGGAAAGGCCCCUUUGGGGGUACUCGAGUGGCGAACGGGUGAGUAACACGUGAGUAACCUGCCCUUGACUUCGGGAUAACUUCAGGAAACUGGGGCUAAUACCGGAUAGGAAUCCUUGCUGCAUGGUGGGGGUUGGAAAGCUUCGGCGGUUUUGGAUGGACUCGCGGCUUAUCAGCUUGUUGGUGGGGUAGUGGCUUACCAAGGCUUUGACGGGUAGCCGGCCUGAGAGGGCGACCGGCCACAUUGGGACUGAGAUACGGCCCAGACUCCUACGGGAGGCAGAAGUGGGGAAUAUUGCACAAUGGGCGGAAGCCUGAUGCAGCAACGCCGCGUGCGGGAUGACGGCCUUCGGGUUGUAAACCGCUUUCAGCAGGGGCGAAGCUUGUGGUGACGGUACCUGCAGAAGAAGCGCCGGCUAACUACGUG